rnacentral:rRNA from 1 species
GACGAACGCUGGCGGCGUGCUUAACACAUGCAAGUCGAACGGAGUGGCGAACGGGUGAGUAAUGUAUCGGAACGUGCCCAGUAGCGGGGGAUAACUACGCGAAAGCGUAGCUAAUACCGCAUACUAUUGGAGCGGCCGAUAUCGGAUUCGCUAGUUGGUGGGGUAACGGCUCACCAGGGCGACGAACCGUAGCUGGUUUGAGAGGACGACCAGCCACACUGGGACUGAGACACGGCCCAGACGCCUACGGGAGGCAGCAGUGGGGAAGUUUGGACAUGGGGGGAAACCCUGAUCCAGCCAUCCCGCGUGUGCGAUGAAGGCCUUCGGGUUGUAAAGCACUUUUGGCAGGAAAGCGGUACCUGCAGAAGAAGCACCGGCUAACUCCGUGCCAGAAGCCGCGGUAAUAC